GGCUCAGAUUGAACGCUGGCGGCAGGCCUAACACAUGCAAGUCGAGCGGAUGAGUGGAGCUUGCUCCAUGAUUCAGCGGCGGACGGGUGAGUAAUGCCUAGGAAUCUGCCUAUUAGUGGGGGACAACGUUUCGAAAGGAACGCUAAUACCGCAUACGUCCUACGGGAGAAAGCAGGGGACCUUCGGGCCUUGCGCUAAUAGAUGAGCCUAGGUCGGAUUAGCUAGUUGGUGAGGUAAUGGCUCACCAAGGCGACGAUCCGUAACUGGUCUGAGAGGAUGAUCAGUCACACUGGAACUGAGACACGGUCCAGACUCCUACGGGAGGCAGCAGUGGGGAAUAUUGGACAAUGGGCGAAAGCCUGAUCCAGCCAUGCCGCGUGUGUGAAGAAGGUCUUCGGAUUGUAAAGCACUUUAAGUUGGGAGGAAGGGCAUUAACCUAAUACGUUAGUGUUUUGACGUUACCGACAGAAUAAGCACCGGCUAACUUCGUGCCAGCAGCCGCGGUAAUACGAAGGGUGCAAGCGUUAAUCGGAAUUACUGGGCGUAAAGCGCGCGUAGGUGGUUUGUUAAGUUGGAUGUGAAAGCCCCGGGCUCAACCUGGGAACUGCAUCCAAAACUGGCAAGCUAGAGUAUGGCAGAGGGUGGUGGAAUUUCCUGUGUAGCGGUGAAAUGCGUAGAUAUAGGAAGGAACACCAGUGGCGAAGGCGACCACCUGGGCUAAUACUGACACUGAGGUGCGAAAGCGUGGGGAGCAAACAGGAUUAGAUACCCUGGUAGUCCACGCCGUAAACGAUGUCGACUAGCCGUUGGGAUCCUUGAGAUCUUAGUGGCGCAGCUAACGCAUUAAGUCGAC
rnacentral:rRNA from 1 species